UUCUCUUCACGCCGUGCGGUGAUCCCCUCUUUCUUCUCUUCUCCCGCGCCUCUCAACCUCCUUUCCUAUUUUGGUGUCUUCCUACUCCAACAAGGAAUCAGAUUUUCUACAUCAAAGGCGUCCCAUCAACAAGUAUCCUAAUCCAAAUAGGAAAAGGAUCUUCCUCCAAGCGCCUCCAACCACAAAGAGGUUUUCUUUGACCAACAAGGACUUCAUUCUCCCACACACCUUCCCCUUGGUUUCAUCCCAUGAACUAUCUAAGAAGGACCCUUUGUUCAACGAGGAAGUCCUCACGCCCACCCCCUCACGCCACCACAUCACGCCAACCCAAUCUACUUCAAACUAGGAGUCCUAGUCUCCAAAGGAUUCCUCCUUUAUCGGUCCGCACAUGAUCCUUUCUUCCUUCAAAUCUGAGCCUUCCACCUUCAGAUCUAACAUCAGCCCGUGCAUCAGGAGUAGCCCUUCCUCCGCGGGGCAUCAUCCAGCCAUCCAUCAUCUCAUUAGCAUUCAUUCCCAACGCGCAACGAUCUAGAUUUAGCAAAUCAACUUGCUGAUUUUUUUUGCGCAGCAACCUUCAUCUUCGUCAUCGCUUGAGGGUCCACCAACGAAGGGUUCUAAUCCUCUUCUUUCCUACAAGAGUAAAGAACAGGAAGAACAAACAAGAAUACAAGUUAGAUAGCGAAAUGUUGGCUCUGCGAUCGACAUGUGGACUUAGGGACGGACCAGUGCCUUUUUUCUGUGCUUGAAGGAGAGGGAUAUAUUAAGAAGAUGAAGAUAAGUACAGAGAUGCAGGGUCGCUCCAAAGCUGUCGGUGGCCAUCCUUCACUCUCGGGGAACAAGGAUUCUCCCAGAAGUGAAAAGUGUAAAGAAUCUUUUGGAGAAUGGUAUAGAUAGAGCAACUCUUUCUGGUGAAGAUUCUAGCAUUUGGCUCAUACCAUAUUUCCCAACAAAUGGUUGCAAACAAUUGAUUCCCAGCUUUCUUCUUCGUCAAUAGACGGUUGUUGAAUCUCCAAUCAGUUCAUAA